AUUAUAGUUAAAGCGCCCGAACUUGAGUGAUAUAGUUCAUUUAAGUUGACGAGGAUGGGGAGAAUCGAAUCUUCGGCGGAUGCCCCACGGUACCGCACUACCGUUAGCGGUUGGUAAAAGCAGAAAGUGAUUUCUGUCACAAAGCCAAUCUGGUGUUAAAA
rnacentral:ncRNA from 21 species